rnacentral:miRNA from 1 species
UGGAGGGUGAGGCGCAUGGAUGGU